rnacentral:rRNA from 1 species
AUACGUAGGGAGCGAGCGUUGUCCGGAAUUACUGGGCGUAAAGGGCGCGUAGGCGGGUAAUUAAGUCAGAUGUGAAAGCCCCGGGCUUAACUCGGGGAGUGCAUUUGAAACUAAUUAUCUUGAGGGCAGGAGAGGAAAGUGGAAUUCCUAGUGUAGCGGUGGAAUGCGUAGAUAUUAGGAGGAACACCAGUGGCGAAGGCGACUUUCUGGACUGUACCUGACGCUGAGGCGCGAAAGCAUGGGGAGC